rnacentral:rRNA from 1 species
GUUUUUAAACCCGCGCGGACUUUGUGAAGUAAAAGUUGUAACAAGGUUUUCCGUAGGUGAACUUUAGAAGGAUCAUUUUGUGGAAGUAAAAAGUCGUAACAAGGUUUCCGUAGGUGAACCUGCGGAAGGAUCAUUGUCGAAACCUGCCUAGCAGAACGACCCGAGAACAUGUUUCAACGCUUGGGGGCGGAGGGUCUUGCGGCUCUGCGCCCCCUUAUCCUAGGAGGCAAGUGUCUUGCGUGUUGCAUUUCGGUGCUUCCGCUUGAUCGACCCUCCCAGGCGUACUGAACACCGGCGUGAAUUGCGCCAAGGAACUUGAAUGAAAGAGCGUUCCCCCGCCGUCCCGGAGACGGUGCUCGUGCGGGUGGUUUUGUUGUCUUCAAUAUGUAUAAACGACUCUCGGCAACGGAUAUCUCGGCUCUCGCAUCGAUGAAGAACGUAGCGAAAUGCGAUACUUGGUGUGAAUUGCAGAAUCCCGUGAACCAUCGAGUCUUUGAACGCAAGUUGCGCCAGAACCCAUUAGGCCGAGGGCACGUCUGCCUGGGCGUCACACGUCGUUGCCCCCCCCAACCCCCUCGGGAGUUGGAUGGGACGGAUGAUGGCCUCCCGUGUGCUCAGUCACGCGGUUGGCAUAAAUACCAAGUCCUCGGCGACCAACGCCACGACAAUCGGUGGUUGUCAAACCUCGGUUUCCUGUCGUACCGCCUGCCGAAGAGAAGGACUUAGUCGCGGCCCCCUAACAGUCGAUCCUUGCGACGACCCCGCGCCGGCUGUAGUAUUAUUCUCACCCCCCAUUUUG